UUGAUUAAAAAGACAAUUUCGUUUCUACUACUUAUCCAAAAUUCAUGUAAUUCAUCAUUUAGGGGCGGAUUGACUAUGUAUUUUUCUUUUUUUAACGGUCGACCGAAUCAAUUCCAAGCAUUCUCAGGGCAUCUACUUGACCAGGGCCGGUUAUAGCCAAGUGCUGGAGGGUCUUGAGAACAGGGCCCAAAUAAUUAAGGGGCCCAAAAAUUUUUAAGUUUUCUUUAUAUAUACAUAGCCCAAAUUUCUUACCGAUUACAGGCCCAAUCCCUUAACUGAUUUCAGGCCCAACCUUUGUCAAAAAUCUAAUUGCCGCUAGAGAAAUCAAACGUCGCGGUUCUUGAUCUUUAGUUCUGCACUAGGGAUUUCAGAUUUCUGAUCGAACAACCAGCCAGCCAGAGGCCCAGAAUCCAGAUCGCAGAGACGCAGAAUCGCAGAUUAAAGUCAGCAUCUGAUAAUAGUCAGCAUCAUAAUCAUUCUCGCAAUCUCGCAGAUAAGAUAAUAGUCAUCAUCAUCACCGCUGCAGCCUGCAGGUGCAGGAAAUCAAUCAUCGAGACUCGAGAUUUUACAGUUUAGACUGAUAUAGACUGCAGGAAAUCAAACGUCGAGUGAUCGAGUCGAGGUAUCUUACUGUUGUUUAUUUAGAUUUUAGACUGAUUUAUGUUAAUUUGUUUUAUAUAUUU